rnacentral:rRNA from 1 species
GCCGCUCUAGACUAGUGGAUCCCCCGGGCUGCAGCCCAAUGUGGAAUUCGCCCUUGACGCCACGCGCGGCGGGCGGGGCGGGGGCACGGGGGGCCUACGGGAGGCAGCAGUGGGGAAUAUUGCACAAUGGGCGCAAGCCUGAUGCAGCGACGCCGCGUGAGGGAUGGAGGCCUUCGGGUUGUAAACCUCUUUUGUU